UCUGGGACCAGGCUGACUGGCAAGAGAAAACAGGUCUGUGACCAGGCUGACUGGCAAGAGAAAACAGGUCUGGGACCAGGCUGACUGGCAAGAGAAAACAGGUCUGGGACCAGGCUAACUGGAAAGAACAAACAGGUCUGUGACCAGGCUAACUGGAAAGAACAAACAGGUCUGGGACCAGGCUAACUGGAAAGAACAAACAGGUCUGUGACCAGGCUAACUGGCAACAAACAGGUCUGGGACCAGGCUAACUGGCAACAAACAGGUCUGGGACCAGGCUAACUGGCAACAAACAGGUCUGGGACCAGGCUGAUUUUUUUUCUCGCUCCAGUCUAAGUCUGAGAGCAUCUUCCUUUGUAUUCCCUCCUUUCUUUUCAUUUAUUUCUAAGAAGAUUCUAUUAUCAAGUGAGACAUUUUUUUUUUUUAAAUUUAAUUGGUUGUAGUUGUUCUUCAAUGUCCCGCCCACUGCAGUCUCAUUUUGAUUUGAUUGGUUGUAGUUGUUCUUCAAUGUCCCGCCCACUGCAGUCUCAUUUUGAUUUGAUUGGUUGUAGUUGUUGUUCAAUGUCCCGCCCACUGCAGUCUCAUUUUGAUUUGAUUGGUUGUAGUUGUUCUUCAAUGUCCCGCCCACUGCAGUCUCAUUUUGAUUUGAUUGGUUGUAUUACGACAGAGAUGUGGUUAUCCCACCUAUCUUAUCGUAACAUGAAUGCACUAACUUGUAAAUCGCUCUGGAUAAGAAUAUCAUGAUGACGUUGACAAAUGAAAUGCUAUUUCUGGGACUUCUUUCUCUUCUGCGAUAUUAAACAUGCAACUUGUCUGAGUGAAUGCAAUGUGUAUACAAUACUAAGUUAUACCAGAUCAAGAAAAAAACAUUAUUUUAGAAACUUAAAAAAUAAAAAAAUUAAAAAAAAUUGUGCGAAAUAUGACGAUAAAAUUAUAAUGACACAUGUAUUUGUAUUUAUUAAAUUUUUGUUCUCUUUUUAAUAAAUUGAUGUCGUUUUUUAAUUUUUUUAUUUAACUAGGCAAGUCAGUUAAGAAUAAAUUGUUAUUUACAAUGACGGCCUACACCGGCCAAAACCGUAACCCGGACGACGCUGGACCAAUUGUGCACCGCCCUAUGGGACUCCCAAUCACGGCCGUUUAGUUAAGGAUAAAUGGGAUGUUAUAAACUAGGUGUGGCCAUUUUGAAUGAAUGGUUGAGAUCUCCUGUACGUUUAGUGGAAGCACGUAGAAGUUAGUAGUUUUAUGUUUUAGCAUGGUCAUCUACUGUGUCUGAAAGAGAGAAUGAAGGUCAUUUAUCAGAUGUGCUGUUGUAAAAAAAUAAAUGUUUGAUGCUUA